AAAAAAAGGGAAUCAAGUACUCAAAAGCAAAGAGUAGAAGAGACUGUUCAAAAAUAAAACAAAUUCGCAGCGUUAUCUCUACAUAAAACUCUUCUGUUGAUUAGCCAAAUCAAACCUAACAAACCUUCUCAAAUAUGGCAGAUUACAAUACUCUGUUGCAUCCUCGCGUUCGCGUCUCCCGUCAGUUUCACUCUUAAAACAUACAAACCAGCAAGCAACUUGCAGCAGGAUCCCCUUUCAUCAAACCGCAUAUGUAUGUACAUACAUACAUAUGUACAUAUGCAUAACAAUCAGUAUCGCUGGCUCUCGCGAUCCGAGUAUUUGCCACUCAGCUUGCUAACCGAAUAGCGAUCCGAGUAGGCAUCGUACUUGUCCGCCUUGUAGUUGAUCUCCUGCGGCGUGUAUCCGAUAUUCUUCUGCCAGUGCCGCGUCCAGUAGAGAUCCUCGUUGCGCACCUGCGAUGGCGUCUUCGCAUCCCGGAACACGUACACACAGUAGAUCAUGCAGCCGAUUAGCGUGAGGAAGCCGAAGACCAGGAACACAAUUCCCAGUAUCCACACGUACAGUGGCUCAUAGAACUGCACCACAAUGACGAAUCCUAGCGUCACCAGGAUCAGGCCCAAGUUGAGCAACAGCAUCAGACAGCACACGCCCUUGACAUUGGGGCAAAAUGGAUUCGGCGCGGACAUGGUUUCCACUUUGGCGCCUCGCCGAGUCGUCGAGCGCGCACUGCGUCCGGUUUUGGCCGUACUGGCCACGGAGUAAACACUCCGUGGAGCUCCUCGCGACACUGGACGCUGACUGUAGCGACUGUAAUGGAUGAUAGAUAGUUUAGAUAUGGGUUAUAUGCUAUAUAGUUGUAACAACGCACCUGAUCUCGGAGGGCGCCUUGUAGGCGGCACUGGUCACAUAGAUGUCGCUGCCGGCGUCACCAGCCUGGUCAUAGCUCAGGGCGGACGGAGCACGCGGUGGCUGGCGCGUGGGCGGCGGUCCGCUGAGGGAGCGAGGUCCUCCGUUGUCCGGCGAACUGGAGAGGCCCAUCUGACUGUGGCUGUAGCUGCUCUGCAGGUGCUGAUGCUGAUGGUUUCCAUUCGAGGAUGAGGAGCGCUUCUUGCGCGAACCAUUGUACUGCGGCGAGAUGCGCUCGUGGGUCAACGUGUACUCCGAAUAGGUGCGCUCCGAGGGCGCCCGGUGGGAGUGGGUCUCAUCGCCGUCGGUGGAAUAGCCGCGGUUCGAGUGGACGUAGGGCGGAUCCGGAGUGAGGCGACCGUGCGUGGCCACAUAAUGGCUGCCCUUCAACCUGUAAUUGGAUCGCAAAUGUUAUCGCCGCUGUAUUAGCCGUUAAGUGGCCCAUCCGCGCUACUCACUUCUUCACUUGUCUCUCGUGCAUCCUGUAUCUUUUGCUCCGCCUGUAUCUGUAUCUUUUGCUGGCUCUUCUCUGCGGCUGAUUGACUGCUAAUGGACCCGUCUAGCAAUUCCUCGAGGUGCCUGCAAUGGGUAAGUAAAGCAAAACAAACACACGAUGAGCUCGACUUCAUGGCAAUUAGGUUUUGGCUUCACUUUAUCGACUAGCUUAGAACUUUUAAUUAGAGCGAUGAAAGUUUUAUUCGACUGCAGACAGCAGCCAUAUUCAAUAAAAUAACUGGUUUGUUUGAAUUUCACAAGCGUAACGUAAAGUUUCAUGGCUCUGGGUUCUCUGCUCGUUGUAAAAGUUUAAUAGUUAAUAUUUAUUAAAAUUACACAUAAACUCGAGAGCAACAUCUGGAUCAUUAAAAAUUUUAAGCAACUCC
ensembl:ncRNA asRNA:CR43470 antisense RNA:CR43470